rnacentral:misc_RNA from 1 species
UUGAAUUUUAAUGAAGAGUUUGGUUGUAGCUGGCCCAUUCAUUUCGGGCAUGUGCACACCUUCCUCUUUCAUCCCACACACACCUGUGAACCUGUGAGACAGAGAUGGGGAAUUUACUUGCUGCUUUUUGGAAUACAAAGGCAAUAGGUUAUUGGACCCCCCCUCUGUCUACUCAAUUAAUAUAAACUCAAUUUAUUUUAAAACGAAUGUAAUGGAUGUAACACAUCUCAUAC